rnacentral:rRNA from 1 species
CCCUCAGUACGGUUGGUAAUCGUACGUAGAGCGCAUUAGUAUAAGGGAGCUUGACUGUGAGACAUACAGGUCGAGCAGGGGCGAAAGCCGGCUAAAGUGAUCCGGUGGUUCUGCAUGGAAGGGCCAUCGCUCAAAGGAUAAAAGGUACUCCGGGGAUAACAGGCUGAUCUCCCCCAAGAGCUCAUAUCGACGGGGAGGUUUGGCACCUCGAUGUCGGUUCGUCACAUCCUGGGGCUGGAGAAGGUCCCAAGGGUUCGGCUGUUCGCCGAUUAAAGUGGCACGUGAACUGGGUUCAGAACGUCGCAAGACAGUUCGGUCUCUAUCUGUGGUGGGCGUUGUAACAUUGAAAGGAGCUGACUCUAGUACGAGAGGACCGAGUCGGACGUACCACUAGUGUAUCUGUUGUGCCGCCAGGUGCAGCGCAGAGUAGCUACGUACGGACUAGAUAAGCGCUGAAAGCAUCUAAGCGCGAAGCUAUCCUUGAGAUGAGUGUUACUGGGGUCGUAGUAGACGACUACGUUGAUAGGCUACAGGUGUAAUCGUAGUAAUACGUUCAGCUGAGUAGUACUAAUUACCCCUUCGCUUCCUUUU